UGGGGAAUAUUGCACAAUGGGCGAAAGCCUGAUGCAGCGACGCCGCGUGAGGGAUGACGGCCUUCGGGUUGUAAACCUCUUUCAGCAGGGAAGAAGCGAAAGUGACGGUACCUGCAGAAGAAGCGCCGGCUAACUACGUGCCAGCAGCCGCGGUAAUACGUAGGGCGCAAGCGUUGUCCGGAAUUAUUGGGCGUAAAGAGCUCGUAGGCGGUUAGUCGCGUCUGCUGUGAAAACUCGAGGCUCAACCUCGGGCUUGCAGUGGGUACGGGCUGACUAGAGUGCGGUAGGGGUGACUGGAAUUCCUGGUGUAGCGGUGGAAUGCGCAGAUAUCAGGAGGAACACCGAUGGCGAAGGCAGGUCACUGGGCCGCAACUGACGCUGAGGAGCGAAAGCAUGGGGAGCGAACAGGAUUAGAUAGCCCUGGUAGUCCAUGCCGUAAACGUUGGGCACUAGGUGUGGGUCCAUUCCACGGAUUCCGUGCCGCAGC
rnacentral:rRNA from 1 species